CUACAAAAAGAAAAAGAAAAAAAAAUAGUAUGAAUCCUAAAGCAGCACGAAUCCUAAUGCAGAGAAAAAUAGAAAGGAAAAAAAAAGAUUUGGACCAGCACGUGCUGGGUGGGAAUUGAACUCCCAGUGAGAGUCCUCCUCCGUGCCUUCUUUCCCCCAGAGAUAGAAGCCAGAGAGGACUUGAACUCCUCCCCCAACCCUCUUUAAAGAAGGGCCAAACCCUCCUUUGGAACCUGACCAACUCCGGCCUCCUCCGAUCAUCAG
rnacentral:lncRNA from 1 species